GCCCCCAUCGUCUAGCGGCUAGGACAGAUGAUUCUCAUUCAUCAAACCGCGGUUCGAUUCCGCGUGGGGGCACCA
rnacentral:tRNA from 2 species